UCCCUGGUGGUCUAGUGGUUAGGACUCCACACUUUCACUGCCAUGACCUGGGUUCAACCCCUGGUUGGGGAA
rnacentral:tRNA from 1 species